CUAUUCUGGUGUAUGCGCUUACUAACAAAGCAGUUGUGUUUAAAACUGACUACAUUGGCAAGAGCUGGAUAUUUUUAUAGACCAGAACUUUGGAAAUCUAACCUGGGAAAUGAUGUAGUUACUUGAUACUGCUGUGUUUACGAUGCUCGUUUAGAAAAAUAGUUUUGUGGUCUCAGAAGUAGUUCUGAAACUACAGUGAUCUUUGAAUUCCUAAAAUAUAAAAUAGGAUUAUGGAUAUUCAUUGUUUACAGGAGAAGAAAAAUAUAAAGCUUGGACUUGGUGAUCAUUUGAUAUAUUGUAGAGGAAGAAAUCCCUUUUAUAUAUACAAAGUGCCUAUACAACCAGCUGUGACAAGUCCCAAGCGAAUCUUAUUCCGUUCAGAAAUUGAUCCUUAUUUGUGAAAUCAUUUCUGUAAUAAUAGUAACUAUGGGAACUUUAAUAAUAGAACAAAUGAUUAUUAUAUAAACAGCUGAGACAUACUGUGAUGUAUUUAAAAAAAAAAAAAAUAUCAGUAAUGUAAAUGAAAAACACAUCAAUUAAAACUGAACUUAGUUGGAUAGAAUGAGAAUUGACAAAUAUCACACAAAGGGCAUUAUAAAGUAUACUUACAGUUCACCUGAAUCACUUACGAAGCAUUAAUUUGUUGUACCUGUGCUAAGAAAAGAAAUUCUGCUUCUAUAUAAUCUGACAUAAUUUUGUCUAUGCAACACCAGUGGGAAUGUAACACUUCCUUCAGGUUUUUUUUCUCUUCAGUAUGGUGCAUAUAUGCAUCACAGAUACGUUUGCAAAUUGUCCGUAGUUUGUUUAAAACACAAGAAAGUAUUAAUAGAGCAUUCCUCUUUAAAAUUGAAUUUACAUUUUCACUUACAAAGUAAUUGUUUCGUCUUUGUAAUGAACUUUUUCAUUAAUUGUACAUAUUGAGCUGUAUUUUUUAAAGUUAAAAAACAAGGAACACGAUGUACAUUUUAAAUGGGAAUAACAUCUCAGAUUCAUUUUGAAACUGAACUGACAGUUCCUUAUCACUUAGCUGUGUUUGUAAAAAUUUAAAACAUUAUUUUGAGAAAUUUCAACGAUUCCUCAAAUGCUUUCAGCCUGAAGAGCACUUACCUAAUUUUCACCUGUUAUUUUCAUUUUACCAUACCAACAUAAAUAUUUUUAUAUUCAGAAAAAUAAACCCUUGAGUUAACAAAUUUCAUCUUGUUCAAGGCAACAGUUUGAUGGACAAACAUAUACAAGCUAAGCAAAAUUUGCUUUGAAUGUAUUCUUUAUAAAGAUUAACAUUGUUUCCAGUUCUGGUAAAUAAAAAUAUCUCUCCAAAAUGAUUGAGGUGAGUAAAGUGACUGUGCAUGACACCUUCUGUUCUCUUCUUUCUUCCUUCAUAAUCUGUGUGUUUAUGUAACUGCCUUCUUUUUGUAGGUUAUUUCACGUAGAGCAGGAUCUCUUUCUCUCUCCCUUUCUCCAUGCUGUUGCUGUGUUUUGCUUUAAACUUGGAUUCCUAGGUAUCAUAUGACUCCAUUAGACAAUAAAGUGUCAGUAACUCCAUAUUUUCAAUGCAGUAGUUGAGAACUUUUCAAUAUGUUGUUCUUUAUCAAUAGCUUUUGUCUUGUUCCUGUUUUUUAUUUUGCCUAGAAUUUUCUCUGAAGUAAAUAUGAAAUGUAACGACAUUUCAGGAUUUAGCUUAGAGCCAGUAGAAAACUAAGUUAUAUUCUUUUUUUUUUUUGGGGGGGGGGGGGAAAGAAAUCUUUCACAUUGGAGAAAAAAUUCUGGUUAAUAUAUUUGCAGUUGCCUCCCUUGUUUGUUUGAAAGUGAUCCUCUAAAGAGAUAAUGAAAAGUGUUUCCUUUUGUUGUUUUGUCACAUGUUCAAAUUAGUCUCCAUAGUGAUGCUCUCCCUUGUAUGACUGAUAGGCUCAGUACAAGUCUCUUAAUUUUCAUUCCUAUUGCAGCUGUUAGAUGAAUAAACGUGUCACAGUUUGUAGCACUUUCAGGUUAGCAUUUCUGAGGUUUCAGAUUAGCACACCUAAAUGAUAUCGCGCUUAGUUUUUUUGUGUACUGCUCGUAUUUCUGUUUAAUUGACAACUUUCAGUAAGGUAAGUACAUUCUUCUCUGCUGGUUAACGAGGCCUUGUUAGUGUUUGGCAUUGCUAGACAUUUGUCAGUAUAUUGUCAGCUUGAAAAUUAUCAAAGCAUGGAAGUGUUACCUAGAGACAUUUGCAAAUAAGAUGUUAUUGUGUUGCCUUUACAAGGAAAAGCAGACUAACGAAGAUAUCAACCGUCUUAAACUUACUUUUAACAUUAACUGUUUCUUUCUAGGUGGAUUUAGCAAAGAUAGCACAUAAUGUGUAAAUAAUUUCAGAAUUUCUGAAUAAGAGAUUAGGUGAGACCAUGACACUUGGCUUGUUCUAACUCAUGGGUAGUGGAUAGUGUGUUUGUCAACAAGUAGAAUUCAGAUUGUAUGACAGAUUCUUGACUCAAUUUUUUUUUUCCAUUUGUAUUUUAAAAUGUAGGCUUUUAAUCAUCUUAAUAGUAGAGCAUGGAUUCUUUUGAGCAGCAUUUUAAAUUUGCUUGUAUGCUCUAUUUUAUCAUUAGUUUAAGAUCAGUGAGAAAAAUUGUCAGUGAAAACUCAACAAUAUCAAAUAGCUUGAGAAUCCUGGAGGGUUUUUUUUGUGUGAAUAGGGUAUGCUUAAGGCUUAUGUAUCAAAGUAGGUGUAAUAAAUUGUUUAGAAUUGCAGGAUAAGAACAUGAAUUUGGAGUUUUGUCAACAGAAACAGCAAGAAAGUAAUUAUUUGAAUAAAAACAUGUAUGUCCUCACAUUCAUAUUAGUAAUUCAAUGAAAUGAAUAGAGUAUUUUUGCUGAUGGCAGACUUCUGGAAUGUGACAAGGAAGAAGUGUUCCAUUUUUUUCCACACAAAUGUGAAGGCUGUGUAUUGCUGUUAUUUAAUAUCCAUUUAAAAAGGAGAUUAUACAUGCUGUGGGUGAAACUAGUAAGUAGAAAUUUACUUUGUAAGUAAAAGAAUAAAUACACAGUUAAAAUUUUCAGCUAUAGAACAUGGGGGAAAAAUAUGGGGAAGAUGAAAAUUUAAUUUGAAAAGAAAGCCUACUGAUGGAGGGAGAAAUAAACUGAAACUAUGUAUUGAAUGGCAGAAUAUAUAUUUUAUUUAGGGCAUGUAGAACUGAAUGAGGAAGUGAGUCAGUAUGAUGAACUAGAGAUGGAGGACAAAAAAACCUAAAAAUGCAAGAGGCUAAAACUCUGAUAUGCUCAAAAAGUCAGUCUGCCUUUAACUUAAUUCAAAGGGAAAUGCAUACAAAGUGAUCAGCUGGUUGUGAGAAAAGGAACAGCCUCAAGAAGAACCUUACUCAUUGAGGAGUGAAGAAAGCUUGUUAAAUGGUCCUAAUGCAAUCUUUUUGCAGUUUUCUUGACAAGGAUUGACUGCUCCCCUGUAUUUUGCUAGUGUUGAUACUAGCAUCUGUGACUGAAUUAAUCUGAAUCAGGCAGCUGAACCAGCUGAAAAUUAGUUCCAAACUAACUAUCCAAUUAAAUUUUCAUCCGUGUCAGUCCUAGCAGUGUGGCUGGGGAGAUCUGGCAAUAAAUCCAUCCUUUUUCAAUAGACUUUUUGCAUUAGCUUAACAUAAAGUAAACAAACUGCAGUCUGUUUGACUGCAUGUAUUUUUAUAAAGCAUCUUUGAUUCUUCCUGUACCCUUCUAAAUAAUAAGAAUGUAAUAAAAGCAUAUGGAAAAAAAUAAACCAUAUUAUUUAAGUGGUACGGUAUCCCUCUAUGAUCUUAUUGUAAUCCUCAUAUAAAAAUAAUUUAAAAAGGAAUUGUAAAGCUAAUAUUAAAACCACCAAUUUCUUAUUUACAUUUCAUAAUUGUUAAGCUGUGUUUUCUUUUUUUUUUUUUUUUUAAUUUUUUGAUUUUUUUUCACAUACUUUGCAGUGAUGCUAAGAUAUAAUUACCUAAUGCUUAUGCUUGGUGGAGGUGCAAUCUUUGGAUAUGUUUGCUAAAAUCACUUGCAUCAAAUGAAAUGGCAAUAUUUAAUGCAAGUAAAACAUAUCUUUACAUAUCAUAACUAACCAAUUGUGUUAGUUACUGCUCUAAAUUUUUCCUUCAACUCAAUUUCCCAAAAGUCUAAUUACAAAACUUUUUGGAGAAACUUAUCGGUGUUUUCUUCCACUUCUUCAGGAAGCCUUAUGGUUUUAUCACCAUUUUGUUUCAGUAGUGACAAAAGUUCCAACUGACUGAAUUGGGCUAGGCAAUUCCUACAUACUGAAAUAUUCUCAGUGAAGUCUAAUUUGCCAAAUAAAUAAAUUAAAUAGAUUAUAUGUUUUUAAUAUAUAUAAAUGUAUCUUCUACCUAUGCUGCUUCUCAGUAUCAGAGCUACAGGACUGAAUUAGCAAUAUUUUUAGCAGCAUUUUAGACUGUUUCAGACAUCAUUUGGGAAAUGCAUCCUAGCACUGAUCUUAAAACUCAAUUUGCACUUCAUUCAUGUACUGUCAGAUGACAAAUCUUUUCACUGAAUGGAAUCUGAUUUAUCUGGAGGAAAGAGUCUAUAAGCAGAGCGUGCAUGGGUGAAUCUUUUCCCCAUUACUUUCUUUCAAGUUAUUGCUUAAAUUGGCAACCAAGCAGAUAUUUGUGAAGAUAAGGUACUAAUAAUUUGAUUUGCUUUUUUGAACUGAUCUGAGAAAUUGGAGAGAUGAACCUUCUGUGAGCAUCAUUCUUUUCUGGGAGAAAGACAUUAACAAAGUGGGAACAUACUAUGUAAUUAGGCUUUCUCAUUGAGAGUCAUUACAUAGGCAGUUUGAAAAAUUGCCACAUAUAAGAAAUACUGAAUUAGUUUAAAUUAGAUACAAUUGGAAUAAUGUAACUUAAAGUUACUUAAAAACAGCUUGAACUUCAAGUGUUUUGAUUGCUGUUAGGAAUACCUAGUCCUUUUCACAUGCUAAUUUAUUAUGUAGUAUUUGGAAUCCUCCCAGGAACCUACAGCUGCUUCUCAAAGUAUCUUUGACAUUUACUUGUAAACUAUAACGCAUCCAUACGCACACGUUCUUGGAUUUUUCUGGACCUCUGUCCAGUCUGUAUCCCUAGAAGCAGAUGCGUGUGUUGAUAGAAUCUGGGAAAGUGUAGGAACUUUUUUUCUUCUUUCUCUCAGUGGAAAUGGAUGUGUGUGUCUUGACUAGAUAGGAUAACAUAAUAUUCAAAACAAACAAACAAACAAA